GUCUCGGUGGCGGAACUGGCAGACGCGCACGGCUCAAACCCGUGUGCCUUCGGGCGUGAGGGUUCAAUUCCCUCCCGGGACA
rnacentral:tRNA from 1 species